GGGCGAUUAGCUCAGAGGGAGAGCACUUGCCUUACAAGCAAGGGGCCGGUGGUUCGAACCCACCAUCGCCCACCA
rnacentral:tRNA from 1 species